rnacentral:rRNA from 1 species
CCUACGGGAGGCAGCAGUGGGGAAUAUUGCACAAUGGGCGCAAGCCUGAUGCAGCGACGCCGCGUGAGGGAUGGAGGCCUUCGGGUUGUAAACCUCUUUUAUCGGGGAGCAAGCGAGAGUGAGUUUACCCGUUGAAUAAGCACCGGCUAACUACGUGCCAGCAGCCGCGGUAAUACGUAGGGUGCAAGCGUUAUCCGGAAUUAUUGGGCGUAAAGGGCUCGUAGGCGGUUCGUCGCGUCCGGUGUGAAAGUCCAUCGCUUAACGGUGGAUCCGCGCCGGGUACGGGCGGGCUUGAGUGCGGUAGGGGAGACUGGAAUUCCCGGUGUAACGGUGGAAUGUGUAGAUAUCGGGAAGAACACCAAUGGCGAAGGCAGGUCUCUGGGCCGUUACUGACGCUGAGGAGCGAAAGCGUGGGGAGCGAACAGGAUUAGAUACCCUGGUAGUCCACGCCGUAAACGGUGGAUGCUGGAUGUGGGGCCCGUUCCACGGGUUCCGUGUCGGAGCUAACGCGUUAAGCAUCCCGCCUGGGGAGUACGGCCGCAAGGCUAAAACUCAAAGAAAUUGACGGGGGCCCGCACAAGCGGCGGAGCAUGCGGAUUAAUUCGAUGCAACGCGAAGAACCUUACCUGGGCUUGACAUAUACAGGAUCGCGCCAGAGAUGGUGUUUCCCUUGUGGCUUGUAUACAGGUGGUGCAUGGUUGUCGUCAGCUCGUGUCGUGAGAUGUUGGGUUAAGUCCCGCAACGAGCGCAACCCUCGCCCCGUGUUGCCAGCGGAUUAUGCCGGGAACUCACGGGGGACCGCCGGGGUUAACUCGGAGGAAGGUGGGGAUGACGUCAGAUCAUCAUGCCCCUUACGUCCAGGGCUUCACGCAUGCUACAAUGGCCGGUACAACGGGAUGCGACGCGGCGACGCGGAGCGGAUCCCUGAAAACCGGUCUCAGUUCGGAUCGCAGUCUGCAACUCGACUGCGUGAAGGCGGAGUCGCUAGUAAUCGCGAAUCAGCAACGUCGCGGUGAAUGCGUUCCCGGGCCUUGUACACACCGCCCGUCAAGUCAUGAAAGUGGGCAGCACCCGAAGCCGGUGGCCUAACCCCUUGUGGGAUGGAGCCGUCUAAGGUGAGGCUCGUGAUUGGGACUAAGUCGUAACAAGGUAGCCGUACCGGAAGGUGCGGCUG